rnacentral:rRNA from 1 species
ACCCUGAUCCAGCCAUGCCGCGUGUGUGAAGAAGGCCUUUUGGUUGUAAAGCACUUUAAGCAGUGAAGAAGACUCUAUGGUUAAUACCCAUAGACGAUGACAUUAGCUGCAGAAUAAGCACCGGCUAACUCUGUGCCAGCAGCCGCGGUAAUACAGAGGGUGCAAGCGUUAAUCGGAAUUACUGGGCGUAAAGCGAGCGUAGGUGGCUUAAUAAGUCAGAUGUGAAAUCCCCGGGCUUAACCUGGGAACUGCAUCUGAUACUGUUGGGCUAGAGUAGGUGAGAGGGAGGUAGAAUUUCAGGUGUAGCGGUGAAAUGCGUAGAGAUCUGAAGGAAUACCGAUGGCGAAGGCAGCCUCCUGGCAUCAUACUGACACUGAGGUUCGAAAGCGUGGGUAGCAAACAGGAUUAGAUACCCUGGUAGUCCACGCCGUAAACGAUGUCUACUAGUCGUUGGGGAACUUGAUUCCUUAGUGACGCAGCUAACGCAAUAAGUAGACCGCCUGGG